rnacentral:rRNA from 1 species
GGAUCAAUAUGUUGGUCGUGCCUUGGUACGUACUAGUUUAUUGGUCUCUUCCUUCUGACGAACCAUGAUGUCAUUAAUUUGGUGUCUUGGGGAGUCAGGACUGUUACUUUGAAAAAAUUAGAGUGUUUAAAGCAGGCUCACGCUUAAAUACAUUAGCAUGGAAUAAUGAAAUAGGACGUUUGAUUCUAUUUUGUUGGUUUCUAGAAUCGCCGUA